GCGGGUUUGGAUUAAUGGCAGGCCCAUCCCCUGGGCCUCUAAUAGUGUCUCAUGCCAGAGCAUACUGUAGCCCUGAACCAUUGCCUGGCCUCUGUGCCUGUAGACUACUGGCACUGAAGUAGGUUGCACCUUG